GACGAACGCUGGCGGCGUGCUUAACACAUGCAAGUCGAACGGAAAGGCCCUGCUUUUGUGGGGUGCUCGAGUGGCGAACGGGUGAGUAACACGUGAGUAACCUGCCCUUGACUUUGGGAUAACUUCAGGAAACUGGGGCUAAUACCGGAUAGGAGCUCCUGCUGCAUGGUGGGGGUUGGAAAGUUUCGGCGGUUGGGGAUGGACUCGCGGCUUAUCAGCUUGUUGGUGGGGUAGUGGCUUACCAAGGCUUUGACGGGUAGCCGGCCUGAGAGGGUGACCGGCAACAUGGGGACGAGGAUACGGCCCAGCUUCCAACGGGAGGCAGAAGGGGGGAAUAUUGAACAAUGGGCGGAAGCCGGAUGCAGCAACGCCGCGUGCGGGAUGACGGCCUUCGGGUUGUAAACCGCUUUCGCCUGUGACGAAGCGUGAGUGACGGUAAUGGGUAAAGAAGCACCGGCUAACUACGU
rnacentral:rRNA from 1 species